AUUGAACGCUGGCGGCAUGCCUUACACAUGCAAGUCGAACGGCAGCACGGGAGCAAUCCUGGUGGCGAGUGGCGAACGGGUGAGUAAUGCAUCGGAACGUGCCAUUGAGUGGGGGAUAACGUAGCGAAAGUUACGCUAAUACCGCAUAUUCUGUGCGCAGGAAAGCAGGGGAUCGCAAGACCUUGCGCUCUUUGAGCGGCCGAUGUCAGAUUAGCUAGUUGGUGGGGUAAGGGCUCACCAAGGCGACGAUCUGUAGCGGGUCUGAGAGGAUGAUCCGCCACACUGGGACUGAGACACGGCCCAGACUCCUACGGGAGGCAGCAGUGGGGAAUUUUGGACAAUGGGCGCAAGCCUGAUCCAGCCAUGCCGCGUGCGGGAA
rnacentral:rRNA from 1 species